rnacentral:rRNA from 1 species
GAUGAACGCUGGCGGCGUGCCUAAUACAUGCAAGUCGAGCGAAUGGACGAGAAGCUUGCUUCUCUGAUGUUAGCGGCGGACGGGUGAGUAACACGUGGAUAACCUACCUAUAAGACUGGGAUAACUUCGGGAAACCGGAGCUAAUACCGGAUAAUAUUUUGAACCGCAUGGUUCAAAAGUGAAAGACGGUCUUGCUGUCACUUAUAGAUGGAUCCGCGCUGCAUUAGCUAGUUGGUAAGGUAACGGCUUACCAAGGCAACGAUGCAUAGCCGACCUGAGAGGGUGAUCGGCCAAACUGGAACUGAGACACGGUCCAGACUCCUACGGGAGGCAGCAGUAGGGAAUCUUCCGCAAUGGGCGAAAGCCUGACGGAGCAACGCCGCGUGAGUGAUGAAGGUCUUCGGAUCGUAAAACUCUGUUAUUAGGGAAGAACAUAUGUGUAAGUAACUGUGCACAUCUUGACGGUACCUAAUCAGAAAGCCACGGCUAACUACGUG